rnacentral:rRNA from 1 species
UACGUAGGGGGCGAGCGUUGUUCGGAAUUACUGGGCGUAAAGGGCGUGUAGGUGGCCUUGCAAGUCAGGCGUGAAAUCCUUCGGCUUAACUGGAGAAGUGCGUUUGAUACUGCAGGGCUUGAGUGCGGGAGAGGAGAGUGGAAUUCCCGGUGGAGCGGUGAAAUGCGUAGAUAUCGGGAAGAACACCGGUGGCGAAGGCGGCUCUCUGGACCGCAACUGACACUGAGACGCGAAAGCUAGGGGAG